rnacentral:lncRNA from 1 species
UGAGUGUUAAAUGGCCAGCAGGAAUUAUCCACUAGAGAAGCGGAAGGGAGAGAAUGGAAAUGGCCGCAUGCAGCUCCUCUCCCUCAGACAGCUCGGGGCUCAGCGGAAUGAGCACAGUCUGCAGGACAAGUGCGGAGGACUUCAGUCCCCUCUACUGUAUAUUGGCUUUAGGACUCAAGUUGUCCCUGAAAUAGAGGAAGGUGUUUUCUAGGGUAGUGGUAAUUAUCACAGUCAAAAAAGUAGGCGAGAGCACUUAGGAAAACUGUGCGGAGAUCGGCUGCUGAUGUGUAAAUACUGCUGAAGCUGCUUAUUCAAGAUUAGAAAACCUGAGACCCAGACGGGGGAAACUGCUUUCCAUGGUUAAUCGUCAACAACUGGCCAGGAUGGGACAGAAGCCCAUACAUAGCCUUCAUUCCAGGGCUCAGAACAAAAAGAAGGCAGUGGCCUGGGCUGCACCUGAGCUUGGCUUCACAUAGGAGGGAUUCUGGAACGCAGGAUCCUGACAACGACCUCAAGGCAGUGAACUCCAAAUUUGACCAAGACGCAGCCUUUGUCCUGUUAUUUUUAUAACCUCCAAGGGAGGACACGGCGCCUGUGGAGGUCAUCAUUUUGAUCGCCCCUGUAAAGCAACACAUUUUUUGGCAAGAAUCCCUGGGACAGAGAAAGAAUUUCUUCUCACUUAUUAUUGAGAAUGUUCUCAUGUCUUGCAAGGCUCACUGCCCAGUAGAAGCUGAAAAGAUUCAGUAUGAGUAAAAGAAGAGAUCUGAAAUUUGCAGCUUGUCAUAGAAACCGACGCCGGUUCACUGGAGAGUGUCCUGUGCUCUUGGCUCACCUGUGUGGACAGAGAACUGAGACUACCAUACACCUAAGAAGUCAAAGUUGCUAUUCAAGGGGAAGUGCAAACACAAGAUGAGGGAAACUGAUGUAUUUAGUGUCUACAUUUUACAAAUGGAUGCUUUUCAUAAUAUGAAAAUACUGCACCAUAAGAUUGCCAGUCACAACAGCACGGCUACAGUGAAAAGUGUCAGUCUUUUUUUUUUCCAGGAUCCCAGUGGAUUUGUUACGGUGAGAAAGCUUCACUUGGAGACAAAGCCAAAACCUUCCUCCCAGGCUCCCUUGGAUGUAGGGGGAAGCAAACUGGCUGUCCAGGCCUCUGAGCCACAUCUACACACCUCAUGAGAGGGCCUGUGCAACAUUGCCUUAGAGAUGGAGAGCAUUGCUUCAGAAUCAGGGAAGCCUAAAUUUCACCCCUGGGGCUGCCCCUUGUGAUCUUGGAUGGCUCCUGACAAGAGGCUGCUGGGGAGGCUCCUGCUCCCUGCCUUUCGGGACUGCCGUGGAUUGCCCAUUGAUGGGUCAAAAUCCAGCUACCUGGUAAUUCAAUGAGUCCCUAGUGUGCAUCCAAUAAAUUAUCUUCUGUUUAAAUUAGAACAAACUGUUUUUAAUCUGUGUGCUAAGAAUCUCAUUAAAUGCAUCAUAAAUUUCAAAAUCAAAAACUAAAUAAAAC